CUGCAGCUUCUGUCCCCCGGGGCCUGUCCUUAGAGGGACCCUCUCCACUGACCUGGAACAUUCAGCCGAUGUCUUUUCCUGGUGCCUGGGAACUGGCACGGUUGCUGUAAAGGCAAAGGGCUGUGAGAUGUGAUAUGACCAGCUAACUCAAGCUCCUGCUGCUAUGACUUCAACAUGGAGAUGGCCUACAGCCUGGAAUUGUGAUCUAAAAUAGGCCCUUUCUCCACCAAGAGAUUUGUUGUCAUGGUGUUUUAGCACAACAACAGAAAUGACAUCAAGACGCAUCCUUGUCUUAAUAUAUCUCCAUGUAUAUGCAUAUUCAUUCAUACACGUUAUUGAUUUGUUAACGAGCUCAUGGCCAACAAACAGCACUCGAACUCACCUGGCUGAGUUGAAACUGAAUCAAGAACAGCUUUAUGGAAAUUAUAACAUUUGAGUGGGAUUUGGAAAAGUAGCUUCAACAAAUGGUGCACACGGUACCUGGUAGAAUCUGGGCAUGUGCUUAAGGGCUUCAGAGUACAGAUGUGUGUCAUAUUUAUUGGUCUGACCACUCAACCGGGUGCUAGAACAGAGGCUUCACAUGCAUUCUCCCAUUCAGCAUGAUAUAGUGCAGGGGAUGUCAUUGCCCCAAUCCGAGCACACUUUAUAGUGAAGGAAAUUGUGCAGGCUAGCCUUUGGACACCUUGACACAUAGUAAGGCCAUUUGGGAACAAGAACCCCCAGUUAAAACAAUGUCCCUAUCACAUUGAUUGUAUCAAAUUAGAAGGGGUAUUUUCUUGGUUAAUGUGGGAGGACCCGACCCACCGUGGGCAGUGUCAUCCCUUACCCAGGCAUAUAGUCCUGGGUUGUAUAACAGAGGAGGGUAAACAAGUCAGGAGGAGAAAACCUGUAAGUAGCUUUCCUCCAUGGUCUCUGCCCCAAUUCCUGCCUCCAGGUUCCGACUUUGACUGCCCUCAGUGGUGGACUGUAACAUGGAAGUGUAAACCAAAUAAACCCAUUGCUCC